rnacentral:rRNA from 1 species
AUUGAACGCUGGCGGCAGGCCUAACACAUGCAAGUCGAACGGUAACAGGAAGAAGCUUGCUUCUUUGCUGACGAGUGGCGGACGGGUGAGUAAUGUCUGGGAAACUGCCUGAUGGAGGGGGAUAACUACUGGAAACGGUAGCUAAUACCGCAUAACGUCGCAAGACCAAAAAGGGGGACCUUCGGGCCUCUUGCCAUCGGAUGUGCCCAGAUGGGAUUAGCUAGUAGGUGGGGUAACGGCUCACCUAGGCGACGAUCCCUAGCUGGUCUGAGAGGAUGACCAGCCACACUGGAACUGAGACACGGUCCAGACUCCUACGGGAGGCAGCAGUGGGGAAUAUUGCACAAUGGGCGCAAGCCUGAUGCAGCCAUGCCGCGUGUAUGAAGAAGGCCUCCGGGUUGUAAAGUACUUUCAGCGGGGAGGAAGGGAGUAAAGUUAAUACCUUUGCUCAUUGACGUUACCCGCAGAAGAAGCACCGGCUAACUCCGUG